GGAUUAGAUACCCUGGUAGUCCACGCCGUAAACGAUGGUCACUAGCUGUUCGGACUUCGGUUUGAGUGGCUAAGCGAAAGUGAUAAGUGACCCACCUGGGGAGUACGUUCGCAAGAAUGAAACUCAAAGGAAUUGACGGGGGCCCGCACAAGCGGUGGAGCAUGUGGUUUAAUUCGAUGAUACGCGAGGAACCUUACCAAGGCUUAAAUGUAGUAUGACAGGUUUAGAGAUAGACUUUUCUUCGGACAUAUUACAAGGUGCUGCAUGGUUGUCGUCAGCUCGUGCCG
rnacentral:rRNA from 1 species